UACGUAGGGGCAAGCGUUGUCCGGAUUUAUUGGGCGUAAAGAGCGUGUAGGCGGCUGGGUAGGUCCGUUGUGAAAACUCGAGGCUCAACCUCGAGACGCCGAUGGAAACCCUCCAGCUAGAGUCCGGAAGAGGAGAGUGGAAUUCCUGGUGUAGCGGUGAAAUGCGCAGAUAUCAGGAAGAACACCCGUGGCUAAGGCGGCUCUCUAGUACGGUACUGACGCUGAGACGCGAAAGCGUGGGGAGCGAACAGG
rnacentral:rRNA from 1 species